rnacentral:rRNA from 1 species
UCGCCUCACCUUACCGCCUUAAAACAUAGGGCGAGAGUAGUACUAGGAUGGGUGACCUCCUGGGAAGUCCUCGUGAAAGGGUUU